rnacentral:lncRNA from 1 species
GCGUUGGCCAGAUGGCCUGAUGGAUGGCCCCACCCAGUCUGUUUCUUCCCUCAGUUGCACUGAGUGUUAGUUGGAGUCACUUCAACGCCCUGAAUCUCAGUGACAACUCCAGGGUCCCUGAUGGCCUCACCCUUUGAAACUUGCUAAGUUCUGCUCAUUUCAGGGAAACCAAGCACCCUAUUCCUCACUGAACCACCAUUGUUUGGGUGAAAACAGGAAGGUCCUUGGCAUACCUGGCAUGGCUGGUGUUUCCAGACCAGUGGAGCUGAGCAGGAGCCCCCAUGUGUGUACCACCUAAGCAGAGGAGAACCUGCCGCCACCCUCUCUCCCUCACCACAGCAUGCCCUGCCCAUCUGCUUGUGGGAGCUCUGAGGGCUUGGAAGUCCUGGGGACCGCCCUCUCUGCCUCCAGUGGCACCCAUUUCCAGCUGUAGCUGGCUUUGUUCCAGAAAGCUCUCUGAAGUCGUCUCCCAAAGAGGGAGACUUACUAACCCUGCCCAGUGGAUGAGCCAAGUGGCCAGGGUAGCUGGGUCCUGCCUUGGAAUGGUGUGACAGCCAAACCGGGACAGGGAACCCCACUUGGGCAGCACAGUGGUGGGGGCCCCGAGGCUAGCCUGUAAGCAGCAUGGUCCAUGGUCCAGGGGCCUGUGGACAGAGGGGACCCAGCUCUUUGAAGUCUGCAAGACCUUCAGCCUCACAGCCUGCUCUUCCCUUCCUGUCACAGCCUAGCAGAGACAGGGCUUUCAGUCCCACCUGGGAGACGGGCAUUUGACCCUUGGGUACCUGGUGGAGCUGUUGGUUCAGGGCAGGGGCCUGUCGAGUGCAGAAGAGGGCUAAAAGUUAUGGGUCUGUGUUCCUCGUUGGCAUGAGGAAAAGGUGGCAAUGCCCAGGACAUGAGCCAGACCCACAGGCUCUGUGUCGUCCACCCUGGGAUCGGCAGCCAGGCCCCAGGAGCUACUGGGGCUGACUAGACCUGAGGGGGAUCUGACCCUUCCCACCCGCCACUGUUGGUUCACCUCUUCCCUCCCUUCCUAGAGCUCCUCAAGUGCUCAAGGCCCCGUGGCCUCGGCCCUUCCAUCUGCCCCCCAGGGACAACAUUCAGGUACCCCACCACACCCACACACUCCUGGUGCUUCCUGGCCUUUGCCAAGUUCUGAAUUCUUCAACCUCCAGAUUCUCCCCAUGGGUUAUGUACUUCCUGCUCUGGGCUUCACUUGGGACAAGCCCUGCUGCUCCUCUGGGUGGGUCUGGCUUCCCUCAGCCCACCAGGCUAAGCAGCACCUGUACCCUAGAUGCUAAUGAAAUGUGCCUGGGGGCUGGGCCCCCGCCACCUCCUGUAGAAGGAAGACCAGAGAGGUGGGCCUUGCCUGUGCACAGCAGGACCAGCGUGGACCCACACCCUGUGCCUCGGCCUCCUAGGGGUGCUCCAGCUGAGGCUUGACCUGCACCCUCUCCCCUGCAGGUGCUGCUGGGUGCCCAGCCCUAGGCCCUCUGACUCUGAUCCCACAGUGACUGAGAGUCCCAGCGGGCCAUGCAACUCUGCCAAGGUAUGGAGCCCCUCCCCUCGGGAGACAGAUGGAGCCACUUAGCAGGGACAGCUGGGGCUUGGCCCACCUGCCUUGACCAGCCCAGUUCAUUCUUGUCCUUGGGGGUUCAGGCAAGGAUGCUGCUUCCGGAAGUAGCCCCAGAGAACACCCUAUCCAGGGUUUCCCAUGCACCCUAGGUCUGAGAAGAGAAGGUGAAGCCCACCCUCACCACUUGAAGGUGCCACCUAAAGCAUGGUUAACUAUAGGGUAGCUCCUGCUAGGGUGGCUCUGCCACCCUGUGCCCACUGGGACUUGGGCAAGCCGAGGAUGUAGCUGCCUCUCUGGAGCAGUCUGGCUGCUGGGCUCUGAGCACAGCAGUGACACCUGUUGGCCAACAGCUGUCCCUCAAUCAGGACAGCAUACCAGGUUCUGUGUUCUCCAGAAGCUCUGAGGAGAUUCACAGAAGGGGCAGGGAGAUGGCAGCAGGGCCCCUUGUCCUCAGGGUCUUGGAGGGGCUGUACCAGAGGCCUUCUGGGUGACUGAGAAUCAUCCAGCCAGGUCCUGCCCUUCCCACUACAGAGAUGAGGAGACAGGUUGAGGGACGUUGUCAAGGAAGGUCGUGCGAGUCCGUGGAAUGGAGUCAAAAGCUGUCUGCCUGGACUGCAGUUCCUGCCCCCACCUCUGCCCUUGGAGAAAGACUAGGAAAAGGCAGGGGGCGGAGCCCCUCAGAAGGGACAGACCCUGUGUCUGCAGGAGCCGCUGCCUGGAGGAGUGGGCCUCUGAGAGCUCUGGGAGCUGGAUACUAGGGGCAGCAGCCAGCCUUCAGGCCAGCAGUAUGGCUGAACGUGGCAGAGAGUGGGAUUAGAGGUCUCUCAUGGGUGCCCUAUGGGAGGAGUGCAGCAGUUGUGAACCUCCCUGGGGAGCACUGCAUAGCCAGCGGGUAGAGACAGUGUCCCUGGAUCUCCAGAUGACACCCAGGGCCCAGAGAGAAAGGGGUCAGCUGGGCCCCAGAGCUGAUGCCUAGGCCAGGUAGUGGCUGAGGACUGUGAAGGGAGUACAGGGCACCCUGCUGCCCUCCCAGGCCCUUCCCUUCUGGCUGCAUCCUGUACUGCCUCCAUGCCGGGCAGAACAGUGGGGUCAGGCACCCCAGCUGCCCUCCUCCUGGGGUUGCCUGUGUGCUCAACCCUCCUGCCUGGUCAGCGUUCUGCUGCUCUUUCAGCCUUGGCACAGGGGCCGGACAAGACCAGCAGGCGUGCACUGGGCCAGUGGGCAGCUGAUCAGGCUGGUACCAUGUCCACCGUGGGCUGCCCAGCAGAGGGACCUUGAGUUCCAUGGAGUCUCGUUUGGUUUUGACCUUCUGAAUGUCAGCCACUGACACCCUGAGGUGACACAUCCCCUCUGCAGACCCCCAGCUCCACCACCCCUGCCUCCUGGCUCCUGAGACUGAGGGGCCUGCUCACUCCUCCUGGCGUUUCAGUCACUCAGCCCCACAGGGACAGAAGCCCACUCCCCGGGCUGACCCUGCCUUCCCACACUGCACCAUCUGGAAACUUCUGUGUCUCCCUGCCCAUUGACACGCUCCAGGCUGCACCCUGCCUUGCGGCCCUGGCCCCACCCAGCUCUUUCCAGUGAGUGUCCUCUGAACGUUUCCAGCUUUUCCAGUGGCUCUUCCUCAUCUCUCAGCACAGGACUUGCCUUCGCUAUCCAGUGCUGCCCUCAAACCAGCCUAUGCUACAGGUCAGUCGCUCAGUGUCCGUGUGCCCCUGACCUGCACUAAGGGCAGGGCUUGGCUCUGACCAGCCUGGGUUCCCAGUGCCCACGUGACCUGAGGCCCAGGGUGUUUGGUGGGUGGAGCAAGAGAAGCAAGGAGCAAAUGACAGGAGAGGCAGGGUCUCUUG